AGCGAACGCUGGCGGCAUGCUUAACACAUGCAAGUCGCGCGGACAGCUUCGGCUUCCGGCGGCGGCCGGGUGCGGAAAGGGUAGGAAAGCGUCCGAAUGUGCGGGACAACCCUGGGAAACAGCGGCAAAUACCGCAUAUUACCCCCGGGCCAAAGCCGCAGGGCGGUUGGGGGGAUAGGAGCGUCUGAUCAGGUAGGUGGCGGGGUGCCGGUCAACCAAGGGAUUGUUGGGUAGCCGGUCUGAGAGGCCUGACGGCCACACUGGGACUGAGAGACGGCCCAGACUGCUACGGGAGGCAGAGGUGGGGAGUAUGGCACAGUGGGGGGAAGCGUGAUGCAACGACGCCGCGUGCGGGAUGACGGCCUUGGGGGUGGAAACCGCAGUCACCUGUGACGAAGCGUGAGUGACGGUAAUGGGUGAAGAAGCACCGGCUAACUUCGUG
rnacentral:rRNA from 1 species